ACGCGAAGAACCUUACCCAGGCUUGAACAGCGAGUGACCAUCGACGAAAGUUGACUUCCGCAAGGACACUCGUAGAGGUGCUGCAUGGCUGUCGUCAGCUCGUGUCGUGAGAUGUUGGGUUAAGUCCCGCAACGAGCGCAACCCUUGUCUGCUGUUGCCAUCACGUUAUGGUGGGCACUCUGCAGAGACUGCCGGUGAUAAACCGGAGGAAGGUGGGGAUGACGUCAAGUCAGCAUGGCCUUUAUGUCUGGGGCUACACACGUGCUACAAUGGCAGAUACAAACCGUCGCGAGACCGCAAGGUGGAGCUAAUCGGAUAAAGUCUGUCUCAGUUCGGAUAGCAGGCUGCAACUCGCCUGCUUGAAGUUGGAAUCGCUAGUAAUCGCGGAUCAGCACGCCGCGGUGAAUACGUUCCCGGGCCUUGUA
rnacentral:rRNA from 1 species